GACAGAGGGGUGCAAACGUUGUUCGGAAUUACUGGGCGUAAAGCGCGUGUAGGCGGUCGGGCAAGUCGGAUGUGAAAGCCCAGGGCUCAACCCUGGAAGUGCACUCGAUACUGCUCGGCUAGAGUCCCGGAGAGGAUGGUGGAACUCUCGGUGUAGAGGUGAAAUUCGUAGAUAUCGAGAAGAACACCGGUGGCGAAGGCGGCAUCCUGGACCGGUAUUGACGCUGAGGAGCGAAAGCCAGGGGAGCAAACGGG
rnacentral:rRNA from 1 species